ensembl:lncRNA
AGUGUGCUGAUGUAGUUUAUUGGUUCAGGUAAUUCUUUAUGACGCAUAAAGUGGUUCAAGCGAUCAUUCAAGGAAGCAACAUCAGUUCUCCACGACUGGGAGCAAAACAAUGAACACAAACAAUACAAAAUAAUUAUGAAAGUAUUCUCCUAGACCAGAACCAACCCUGACUGACGUUUGACCCUCAUCGUCGUCAUGACAACCGGUCACAUCUGUCUGCACGAGAGAAAAGAGAACAUCACAGAGGGAAGGGAUGAACAGUGAUAAAUAACACAGCAGACCGCUGAGUGGGUCUGGAGGGAGAUUGGGAGGGUGGAGGUGGUGGAGGAGGAGGUGGAGGUUUACCACGGGGCGAGAUAGGUGGAGGAGGAGGUGGGUCAUCACGGGGAGAGAGAAGUGGAGGAGGAGGUGGUGGAGGAGGAGGUGUGUCAUCACGGGCGGGACGGGAGAGAG